UACAGAGGUCUCAAGCGUUGUUCGGAUUCAUUGGGCGUAAAGGGUGUGUAGGUGGCGCGCUAAGUCGGGUGUGAAAUUUCGGAGCUUAACUCCGAAACUGCAUUCGAUACUGGCGUGCUUGAGGACUGGAGAGGAGACUGGAAUUCAUGGUGUAGCAGUGAAACGCGUAGAGAUCAUGAGGAAGACCAGUGGCGAAGGCGGGUCUCUGGACAGUUCCUGACACUGAGGCACGAAGGCCAGGGGAGCAAACGGG
rnacentral:rRNA from 1 species